GACGGAGGGUGCUAGCGUUGUUCGGAAUUACUGGGCGUAAAGGGCGCGUAGGCGGCCCUGGCAGUCGGGUGUGAAAGCCCGGGGCUCAACCCCGGAACGGCACCCGAUACUCCAGGGCUGGAGACCGGGAGAGGAGGGUGGAAUAGCCAGGUGUAGAGGUGAAAUUCGUAGAUAUUGGCUGGAACACCGGUGGCGAAAGCGGCUCUCUGGUCCGGAUCUGACGCUGAGGCGCGGAAAGCGUGGGGAGCAAACAGG
rnacentral:rRNA from 1 species